UAGGGAAUCUUCGGCAAUGGGGGGAACCCUGACCGAGCAACGCCGCGUGAGUGAAGAAGGUUUUCGGAUCGUAAAGCUCUGUUGUUAAGGAAGAACGAGUGUGAGAAUGGAAAGUUCAUACUGUGACGGUACUUAACCAGAAAGGGACGGCUAACUACGUGCCAGCAGCCGCGGUAAUACGUAGGUCCCGAGCGUUGUCCGGAUUUAUUGGGCGUAAAGCGAGCGCAGGCGGUUAGAUAAGUCUGAAGUUAAAGGCAGUGGCUCAACCAUUGUAGGCUUUGGAAACUGUUUAACUUGAGUGCAGAAGGGGAGAGUGGAAUUCCAUGUGUAGCGGAGAAAUGCGUAGAUAUAUGGAGGAACACCGGUGGCGAAAGCGGCUCUCUGGUCUGUAACUGACGCUGAGGCUCGAAAGCGUGGGGAGCGAACAGG
rnacentral:rRNA from 1 species